rnacentral:rRNA from 1 species
GGUUAAGCGACUAAGCGUACACGGUGGAUGCCCUGGCAGUCAGAGGCGAUGAAGGACGUGCUAAUCUGCGAUAAGCGUCGGUAAGGUGAUAUGAACCGUUAUAACCGGCGAUUUCCGAAUGGGGAAACCCAGUGUGUUUCGACACACUAUCAUUAACUGAAUCCAUAGGUUAAUGAGGCGAACCGGGGGAACUGAAACAUCUAAGUACCCCGAGGAAAAGAAAUCAACCGAGAUUACCCCAGUAGCGGCGAGCGAACGGGGAGCAGCCCAGAGCCUGAAUCAGUGUGUGUGUUAGUGGAAGCGUCUGGAAAGGCGCGCGAUACAGGGUGACAGCCCCGUACACAAAAAUACACAUACUGUGAGCUCGAUGAGUAGGGCGGGACACGUGGUAUCCUGUCUGAAUAUGGGGGGACCAUCCUCCAAGGCUAAAUACUCCUGACUGACCGAUAGUGAACCAGUACCGUGAGGGAAAGGCGAAAAGAACCCCGGCGAGGGGAGUGAAAAAGAACCUGAAACCGUGUACGUACAAGCAGUGGGAGCACGCUUAGGCGUGUGACUGCGUACCUUUUGUAUAAUGGGUCAGCGACUUAUAUUCUGUAGCAAGGUUAACCGAAUAGGGGAGCCGAAGGGAAACCGAGUCUUAACUGGGCGUUAAGUUGCAGGGUAUAGACCCGAAACCCGGUGAUCUAGCCAUGGGCAGGUUGAAGGUUGGGUAACACUAACUGGAGGACCGAACCGACUAAUGUUGAAAAAUUAGCGGAUGACUUGUGGCUGGGGGUGAAAGGCCAAUCAAACCGGGAGAUAGCUGGUUCUCCCCGAAAGCUAUUUAGGUAGCGCCUCGUGAAUUCAUCUCCGGGGGUAGAGCACUGUUUCGGCAAGGGGGUCAUCCCGACUUACCAACCCGAUGCAAACUGCGAAUACCGGAGAAUGUUAUCACGGGAGACACACGGCGGGUGCUAACGUCCGUCGUGAAGAGGGAAACAACCCAGACCGCCAGCUAAGGUCCCAAAGUCAUGGUUAAGUGGGAAACGAUGUGGGAAGGCCCAGACAGCCAGGAUGUUGGCUUAGAAGCAGCCAUCAUUUAAAGAAAGCGUAAUAGCUCACUGGUCGAGUCGGCCUGCGCGGAAGAUGUAACGGGGCUAAACCAUG